GCCGGAUUAGCUGAGAGGUGGUGCAUGGCCGUCGUCAGUUCGUACUGUGAAGCAUCCUGUUAAGUCAGGCAACGAGCCGAGACCCAGCCCACAGUUGCCAGCGUACUCUCCCGGAGUGACCGGGUACACUGUGGGGACCGCCGCUGCUAAAGCGGAGGAAGGAAUGGGCAACGGUAGGGUCAGUAUGCCCCGAAUAUCCCGGGCUACACGCGAGCUACAAUGGUUGGUACAAUGGGUAUCUACCCCGAAAGGGGACGGGAAUCUCCUAAAACCAAUCUUAGUUCGGAUUGAGGGCUGCAACUCGCCCUCAUGAAGCUGGAAUCCGUAGUAAUCGCGCUUCAACAGAACGCGGUGAAUACGUCCCUGCUCCUU
rnacentral:rRNA from 1 species